AGGACGAACGCUGGCGGCGUGCUUAACACAUGCAAGUCGAGCGGUAAGGCCCUUUCGGGGGUACACGAGCGGCGAACGGGUGAGUAACACGUGAGCAAUCUGCCCUUCACUUCGGGAUAAGCCUCGGAAACGGGGUCUAAUACCGGAUAUGACUGCGCCAUGCAUGUGGUGUGGUGGAAAGUUCUGGCGGUGAGGGAUGAGCUCGCGGCCUAUCAGCUUGUUGGUGGGGUAAUGGCCUACCAAGGCUUCGACGGGUAGCCGGCCUGAGAGGGUGACCGGCCACACUGGGACUGAGACACGGCCCAGACUCCUACGGGAGGCAGCAGUGGGGAAUAUUGGACAAUGGGCGAAAGCCUGAUCCAGCAACGCCGCGUGAGGGAUGGACGGCCUUCGGGUUGUAAAGCCCUUUUGUGGAAAGAAAGCAAUCGGUAAUACCCGGUUGUCUGACGGUACCAAAGAAUAAGCACGGCUAACUUCGUGCCAGCAGCCGAC
rnacentral:rRNA from 1 species